UUUUUCCCAUUUUCCCAUUCUCUUAAUACCCUACUUCUCCUCUCUUCUACUUAGUAAUGAGAUGAAGGAUUUUUCCUUCAAAUUAAAGGGAUUUAGGAAGAGAACCUUUGGAGAAGGAAACCUAUUUUCAAGUUGAAACUCUAGCUAGAGAACAAUGUACUUCGGGCGCGCACGCCGGAGCUCCUACGGUCGAACCUGCCACAUCCUAGAUCGGUCUUUUCUUAUUUUGAGGUGGAAUCCUUAUCUAUAAAUGAUGAACCUUAGUGGUCCUCUUAGUAUCAUGCAUGCAUAUAUAUAUUGCUAUCGAAUGUUCGUAAUUCUUGUUGCAUGUUUAAUUAUUGUUCUAAGAGCUUAUGCCAUCGUUGUUUAUUCUUUGGUUCACAAUGCAAUGGAAGUUGAUCUUAUACUCUAGCAUAUCUCUUAUUAUCACAUUGUACUAGUAGAGGGUAUGCAUUUGUAUUGGAAGGUAGCAUAAUCUUGAUUAUUUGUUAAUUCCAAAA